CCCUUAGAUGUUCUGGGCCGCACGCGCGCUACACUGUUUGAUUCAGCGAGUCUUAACCUUGACCGAAAGGUUUGGGUAAUCUUCUAAAGUCAAACGUGAUGGGGAUCGAUCAUUGCAAUUAUUGAUCGUGAACGAGGAAUUCCUAGUAAAUGCAAGUCAUCAGCUUGCGUUGAUUACGUCCCUGCCCUUUGUACACACCGCCCGUCGCUACUACCGAUUGAAUGGUUUAGUGAGGGCCUCGGAUUGGUCUCGGCCCGCUCUUUACCGGGCGGCGCCGUUGGUCGAGAAGACGCUCGAACUUGAUCGUUUAGAGGAAGUAAAAGUCGUAACA
rnacentral:rRNA from 1 species